rnacentral:rRNA from 1 species
UACGUAGGGGGCAAGCGUUGUCCGGAUUUAUUGGGCGUAAAGAGCGUGCAGGCGGCUGGGUAGGUCCGCUGUGAAAACUCGAGGCUUAACCUCGAGACGUCGGUGGAAACCAUCCAGCUAGAGUCCGGAAGAGGAGAGUGGAAUUCCUGGUGUAGCGGUGAAAUGCGCAGAUAUCAGGAAGAACACCCGUGGCGAAAGCGGCUCUCUGGGACGGUACUGACGCUGAGACGCGAAAGCGUGGGGAGCGAACAGG